UGCAAGUCGAACGGGAUCGGCUGGAGCUUGCUCCGGCCGUGAGAGUGGCGAACGGGUGAGUAAUGCGUGACCGACCUGCCCCGUACACCGGAAUAGCUCCUGGAAACGGGUGGUAAUGCCGGAUGCUCCAGUCCAUCGCAUGGUGGUCUGGGAAAGAUUUUAUCGGUAUGGGAUGGGGUCGCGUCCUAUCAGGUAGUCGGCGGGGUAACGGCCCACCGAGCCUACGACGGGUAGCCGGCCUGAGAGGGCGACCGGCCACAUUGGGACUGAGAUACGGCCCAGACUCCUACGGGAGGCAGCAGUGGGGAAUAUUGCACAAUGGGCGCAAGCCUGAUGCAGCGACGCCGCGUGCGGGAUGACGGCCUUCGGGUUGUAAACCGCUUUUGUUGGGGAGCAAGCCUUCGGGUGAGUGUACCCUUCGAAUAAGCACCGGCUAACUACGUGCCAGCAGCCGCGGUAAUACGUAGGGUGCAAGCGUUAUCCGGAAUUAUUGGGCGUAAAGAGCUCGUAGGCGGUUCGUCSCGUCCGGUGUGAAAGUCCAUCGCUUAACGGUGGAUCUGCGCCGGGUACGGACGGGCUGGAGUGCGGUAGGGGAGACUGGAAUUCCCGGUGUAACGGUGGAAUGUGUAGAUAUCGGGAAGAACACCAAUGGCGAAGGCAGGUCUCUGGGCCGUUACUGACGCUGAGGAGCGAAAGCGUGUGGGAGCGAACAGGAUUAGAUACCCUGGUAGUCCACGCCG
rnacentral:rRNA from 1 species